rnacentral:rRNA from 1 species
UGGGGAAUAUUGCACAAUGGGCGCAAGCCUGAUGCAGCCAUGCCGCGUGUGUGAAGAAGCCUUCGGUUGUAAGCACUUUCAGCGAGGAGGAAGGUGGUGAGCUUAAUACGCUCAUCAAUUGACGUUACUCGCAGAAGAAGCACCGGCUAACUCCGUGCCAGCAGCCGCGGUAAUACGGAGGGUGCAAGCGUUAAUCGGAAUUACUGGGCGUAAAGCGCACGCAGGCGGUUUGUUAAGUCAGAUGUGAAAUCCCCCGGGGCUCAACCUGGGAACUGCAUUUGAAACUGGCAAGCUAGAGUCUCGUAGAGGGGGGCUAGAAUUCCAGGUGUAGCGGUGAAAUGCGUAGAGAUCUGGAGGAAUACCGGUGGCGAAGGCGGCCCCCCUGGACGAAGACUGACGCUCAGGUGCGAAAGCGU